UACAGAGGGGGCGAGCGUUGUUCGGAAUCAUUGGGCGUAAAGAGCUCGUAGGCGGUGUGUCGCGUCGGCCGUGAAACCUGCAGCUUAACUGUGGGCUUGCGGUCGAUACGGGCAUCACUGGAGUUCGGCAGGGGAGACUGGAAUUCCUGGUGUAGCGGUGAAAUGCGCAGAUAUCAGGAGGAACACCGGUGGCGAAGGCGACAUCCUGGACCGGUAUUGACGCUGAGGCGCGAAAGCCAGGGAGCAAACGGG
rnacentral:rRNA from 1 species